UCUGAUGGUAUUUCGGGGGAGUUCAACAACCUGGACAUCCUACUGAGAUCCUGUGGACACUUCCCUUACUGCUGAAGCCUAAGACUAUCAGUUCAGAAACCGGGGACGCCAGGGAGGCCUUCAGUGAUGGGGGUACGACGUCUGAGGAAAAGUACAAGAUGAAGAAUAGUCUCUCUGGAACAUGAGGAACAGGAUGGAAAAGGCCACAGACACGCUAAGAAUUUGUCAGAGUGAGUACCUGCAGACAAGGUCAAUAUUCCCUUGGAAAAUAGUUUGGGAUUAUUCUGGCAUCCAAACUGGUGAAACACAAAACUUUGUGAUAAUAUGGAGACAAAUCAUGAAACUGUUUUGCAUGACGGAGUCUCGACUGUUACCCCCAUCACUCACCAGUUGAACCAUUCAUCCUUCAGGAAUAUAUUGAUUGAAUUCAUGACCUUCGAAGAGCUUAAAGACUUAUCAGAGCCUUAAAAUGAGUGCAGCAAAUUUCCAAAAACAAAAAAGAGAGAGAGAAGAGAUAAUAACAUGCAGCGCUUCGUCAGCUAGGAAGUCAUCCUGGUUCUCUUCACUUCACAACCCUGACCUGCGUCAGAAAAAUGCUUUUCUUCCUAUUACUGAUUUGAUAGUCUGACGAAAGUAUAUUUUGCUGGAAAGUGCCUCUGUUUGGACCAAAGAAGAUUUUUCUAUUCAUAUAACGUAGCAAGUUCAGUAAUUUCACUAAGUAUCAGAAAUGACAGCGUGAUCACCGGGAACAAAGCAU